AUUCCAUGAUGAGGGCACUUUCGUAGCAGUUCUUUAAAUAUUUUCCACACCUCAUACAAGGAUUUGUCAUCUAUUUGUUAGAAAGUAGUGAUCUUAUUCCACAACUU
rfam:Gossypium hirsutum cultivar TM-1 chromosome 24, whole genome shotgun sequence